rnacentral:rRNA from 1 species
AUUGAACGCUGGCGGCAGGCCUAACACAUGCAAGUCGAACGAGUGGCGGACGGGUGAGUAAUGUCUGGGAAACUGCCUGAUGGAGGGGGAUAACUACUGGAAACGGUAGCUAAUACCGCAUACCAUCAGAUGUGCCCAGAUGGGAUUAGCUAGUAGGUGGGGUAAAGGCUCACCAAGGCGACGAUCCCUAUCUGGUCUGAGAGGAUGACCAGCAACACUGGAACUGAGACACGGUCCAGACUCCUACGGUAGGCAGCAGUGGGGAAUAUUGCACAUUGGGCGCAAGCCUGAUGCAGCCAUGCCGCGUGUAUGAAGAAGGCCUUCGGGUUGUAAAGUACUUUCAGCGGGGAGGCGUUACCCGCAGAAGAAGCACCGGCUAACUCCGUGCCAGCAGCCGCGGUAAUUC